AGCGAACGCUGGCGGCAGGCCUAACACAUGCAAGUCGAACGGAUCCUUCGGGAUUAGUGGCGGACGGGUGAGUAACACAUGGGAACGUGCCCUUUGGUUCGGAACAACUCAGGGAAGCUUGAGCUAAUACCGGAUGUGCCCUUCGGGGGAAAGAUUUAUCGCCAUUGGAGCGGCCCGCGUCUGAUUAGCUAGUUGGUGAGGUAAAGGCUCACCAAAGCGACGAUCAGUAGCUGGUCUGAGAGGAUGAUCAGCCACAUUGGGACUGAGGCACGGCCCAAACUCCUACGGGAGGCAGCAGUGGGGAAUCUUGCGCAAUGGGCGAAAGCCUGACGCAGCCAUGCCGCGUGAAUGAUGAAGGUCUUAGGAUUGUAAAAUUCUUUCACCGGGGACGAUAAUGACGGUACCCGGAGAAGAAGCCCCGGCUAACUUCGUGCCAGCCGCCGCGGUAAGAC
rnacentral:rRNA from 1 species